rnacentral:rRNA from 1 species
GCAAGUCGAGCGGUAACAGAAAGUAGCUUGCUACUUUGCUGACGAGCGGCGGACGGGUGAGUAAUGCUUGGGAACAUGCCUUGAGGUGGGGGACAACAGUUGGAAACGACUGCUAAUACCGCAUAAUGUCUACGGACCAAAUGGGGCUUCGGCUCUCGCCUUUAGAUUGGCCUGAGUGGUAUCAGCUAGUUGGUGAGGUAAUGGCUCACCAAGGCGAUGAUGCCUAGCUGGUUUGAGAGGAUGAUC